AGCGAACGCUGGCGGCAGGCUUAACACAUGCAAGUCGAGCGGGCCUUUCGGGGUCAGCGGCGGACGGGUGAGUAACGCGUGGGAACGUGCCCUCCGGUUCCGAAUAACUCAUGGUAACUUGAGCUAAUACCGGAUACGCCAUUCUGGGGAAAGGCGUGCUGCCGGAGGAUCGGCCCGCGUCUGAAUAGCUAGUUGGUGAGGUACGGCUCACCAAGGGGGCCAUGAGUAGAUGGUUGGCGAGGAUGAUAAGCCACACUGGGUAUGGCAAACGGACCAGACAGCUACGGGACGGAAGAGUGGGGGAUACUGGAGGAGGGGCACGAGCCAGAUCCAGCCAUGCCGGGUGAGUGAUGAAGGCCUUAGAGAAGUAAAGCUCUUUUAUCCGAGACGAUUAUGACGGUACCGGAGGAAUAAGCCCCGGCUAACUUCGUG
rnacentral:rRNA from 1 species